rnacentral:misc_RNA from 1 species
AAGUCGUAACAAGGUUUCCGUAGGUGAACCUGCGGAAGGAUCAUUACUGAAGCAUUUGCAAUGGUUUUGUUGCUGCCUUGAAAAAGGAUCGUGCACGCCAUUCAAUCUUCUAUUUACCCACCUGUGCACCUUUCAUAGGCUUACGUUGAAUAAGUUGUCACUGUAAAUUGUGGAUGUGGGAGCGUAGCCUGUAGCUUGUUCUCAACUCUUGUUCAACUGUCUGUGUCUUUUUUAUACACACUAUUUGAUAUAAAUGAAUGUAUUGCUCUAUGGAUUGAUUUCCAUAUAAAUGUAAAUACAACUUUCAGCAACGGAUCUCUUGGCUCUC